GUGCGAGGCCCGCCGAGCCCACGCCCACCUAGAACUCGUGCUGGCCUGCAAGCGCCGGGCGCAGCCCCGCAAGCACCGCGCGCAGCCCGGCAAGCAACGCGCGCAGCCCCGGUUCCCGCCCGCGCGGAGCCCACGCCCACCCGGAACUCAUUCUGUCUGGCAAGCGCCGCGCGCAUCCUCGGUUCCCGCCGCGCCGUUGCCGCCGCUCCUCUCCCUCCUCACCUCCCCGCAAGCUGAGGGAGCCGGCUCUGGCCUUGGCCAGCCCAGAAAGGGGCUCCCACAGUGCAGCGGUGAGCUGAAGGGUUCCUCAAGCGCGGCCAGAGUGGGCGCCAAGGCCGAGGAGGCGCCCAGAGCCAGCGAGGGCUGCCAGCAAGCUGUCACCUCUCAAUAGGAACUGGUACCAACCUACUUACGAAGAAGUAUUUGUUUUAACCUGAACCUGGGGGAAAAACAACAUGAACUGUUCGUCUAUCUAUAUCGUCAUUAUUUUUUACCUCAUGGAUUGAAACAAAUUUUAAAGGAAAAAAGAAUGUUAAGAAAGAGCAGCACUUACUAUCAGGGAGGCACCUCACGAGCAUUGUAAACACUCAGGCUCGCUGCUUUCUGAAGGACAUGCCAAUCAUGCACAGCACUUACUAGAAACUGCAAGACUGCACAACAUGAUGGUAUUUAUUCCAGGAACAGGAGCCAGUCCUGGGCACACACAUAAAGGGACUUCCUUCACUCCCCAGAAGAAGAGAAAGCAUGCUGACACACAUCUGCCCAAGCAAUCAGAAGGCAGCUAAAGCCGCCACAGUCUUCACUCACCAACAGUUAGACCUUUUCAAUUGAUUUUAUUGAAGAAAGUGAGUGCUGAGCACCAUGAGUUCUCAUAAACAAUCCAUUUUGGCAAAUGCUUUAAGAAUGUUGGUUAAUUGCAGUUAGGCAGCAUCGACGUAUUUUAUUUUUUGGAAAGCAAGAAGCUGGCUUACCAACAUUAAGUUAAACAACAUGUAAGGGUUAGAAAUAUGAAUCAACAAACUAUUAGGGUGGUACCAUCUCUUUAUAAUAAAACAAUGUAGAUUGAUUAAGUAUAGCCUAAAAGUUUACCACAAAUCAUAACUACAUUUAAGCUUUGAAUUUCAUGACUAGUGAUUAAUUUUGCAUGUCAACUUGACUGAGCUUAUAGAAUGCCCAGGUAUCUGAUUAAACGUUAUUUCUGGAGGUGUCUGUGAGGGUGUUUCUGUAAGAGAUUAGCAUCUGAAGGCCAGGUGUGGUGGCUCAUGCCUGUAAUCCUAGUACUUUGGGAGGCCGAGGUGGGCAGAUUGCCUGAGCUCAGGAGUCUGAGACCAGCCUGGGCAACAUGGCAAAACACCGUCUGUACUAAAAAAUACAAAGUUUAGCCGGAUGUGGUGGCACACACCUGUAGUCCCAGCUACUAGGGAGGCUAAGGCAUGAGAAUUUCCUGAGCCUGCGAGGCGGAGGUUGUGGUAAGCCAAGAUUGUACUCCAGCCUGGGUGAUAAAGUGAGACCCUAUCUCAUAAAAAACAAAAAAACAAAAAAGAAAAAAGGAGAAGAAAGAGACACAGAUUAGCAUUUGAAUGGGUGGACUGAGUAAAGCAGAUGGCCCUCGUCAGUGUUGGUGGGAAUUGUCCUAUCCAUUGAGGGCUUAAAUGAAACAAAGACUGAGGAAGGCUGAAUUCAAUCUCUGCUGACUGCUGGGGCUGAGACAUCAAUCUUCUCCGGCUCUCAGUGCUCUUCCAGACUCAGACUGGAAUGUACACUAUCAGCUCUCCAGUUCUCAGGCCUUCAAAUUACACCUCUGGCUUUCCUGGGUCUCCAGCUUGCAGAUGGCAGAUCGUGGGACUUCAUGGGACUUCUCAGACUCCAUAACCAAGCAAGCCAUUUUACUUACUUUGGACUCAUUUUCUUAAUCCAAAAAUGGAAGUAAGGCUUGUCAUCUGUCUUAUUCAUAGUCACAGGCACACCUGGAUGAUAUCAAAUUAUUCUUUUAAGGAAAUCAAUAUAUCACGAAAAAUGCAUAGAAGAACAUCUGGCAAUAACAUUUCAGGGCUGAGGAGCUACAGUCUAAAUGCAUACGCAUGUUGGGAACCGAAGUCAGCCAUCUUCCCUAGGACAAAUCUUUACUCUUCUAAAGAAGGACAAGAAUAAGAAUUGAAAACACUUUUCACAGUAUAGACAUCUAUAGUGUGUAAAACCAUCUUUACAAAACCCAUAUAUACAGAAAAAUCUCAGUCUUCAAUUUGAAGGUUCUUUGCCGUGCUAACAUAUGUUGUAGAGAAUGACCACAUAGUAAUUGUCUAGUCUUUUCUCCUAACCCCAAUAGGAUUUGAAUGACUUUCAUCGUAAUGAAGGCUUCUGCAGAGUAAUUGAUUUUGACCAUGAGUACCUGUUGAAGUCACAGCAACUUCUCCUUCUAGAUUAUCUUACAGCAGUGGACCAGACAGCAGUGCUCAAGAGAGAAAUGCUAUCAAACAAAAAGUGGUUCAAUACUGGCAUCCUGUGGCUGGAGAGAUUUAUCAAAUCUCUGAAAAUCUCAGCUCCUUGGAUUCUGAACAUUCCCUGGCUGUCAGUUCUCAGCAGCCUUUCACCAUUUUCCGAGUGCUAUUUGGUUACCUCUCAUUUUUCAUGGAAACAACCUAGAUGAAGAACUCCAUAAAAGAAGAGAAGACAGAGAGACCUGUAGGGAGAUGUAAGAAAUGAACAGACAAAGAUUAAAAGACUGCAGGGUUGAAGGAAGCUCAUGGAAAAAUGUGCAGAGAUGCAUAAAGGAAGGAGAAAAGUGCAGCAAAGCCACAUAGAAAAAUGGCCAGAAGGGUCACUCUUAGCCACCACCACACAGAGAAAUGAACUAAAAUGAAAACUCACAACUCAGGAAUAUGGAAUAAUAAGCAAUCAGAAACAUAAAUAUAAGCAGUUUUAUCUAUUCAUUAUUUUUAUUCUACUAUUAGAAUAAAUUCAUGACUAAAUAAAAUUAUUCAGCAAAAUGUAGCUUGAGAGUAAAUUUUCAUUUGCUUGCAUUUCAUACACACAA
rnacentral:lncRNA from 1 species